rnacentral:rRNA from 1 species
UACGUAGGGUGCAAGCGUUGUCCGGAAUUAUUGGGCGUAAAGAGCUCGUAGGCGGUUUGUCACGUCUGCUGUGAAAACUCGGGGCUUAACUCCGGGCCUGCAGUGGGUACGGGCAGACUAGAGUGCGGUAGGGGAGACUGGAAUUCCUGGUGUAGCGGUGAAAUGCGCAGAUAUCAGGAGGAACACCGGUGGCGAAGGCGGGUCUCUGGGCCUUGCCUGACGCUGAGGAGCGAAAGCGUGGGGAGCGAUCCGG